GACGAACGCUGGCGGCGUGCUUAACACAUGCAAGUCGAGCGGAAAGGCCAUGCUUUUGUGGGGUGCUCGAGAGGCGAACGGGUGAGUGACACGUGAGUAACAUGCACUUGACUGUGGGGUAACUUCAGGGGAAUGGGGCUAAUACCGCGUAGGAGCUCCUGCUGCAUGGGGGGGGUUGGAAAGAUUCGGCGGUUGGGGAUAGACUCGCGGCUUAUCGGCUUGUUGGUGGGGUAGUGGUUUACCAAGGGUUUGAAGGGUAGCCGGCCUGAGAGGGUGAACGGCCACAAUGGGACUGAGAUACGGCCCAGACGGCUACGUGAGGCAGCAGUGGGGAACAUGGCAGAAUGGGGGGAAGCCUGAGGCAGCAAUCUUGCGUGCGGGAUGCCGGCUUUCUGGUGGUAAACAGCUGUCGCCUGUGACGAAGCGUGAUUGACGGUAAUGGGUAAAGAAGCACCGGCUAACUACGUG
rnacentral:rRNA from 1 species